rnacentral:tRNA from 1 species
CAAGACGUAGCUAAACAUAAAGCAUUCAGCUUACACCUGAAAGAUAUCUGUAACCACCUGAUCGUCUUGA